rnacentral:misc_RNA from 1 species
UAAUGGGUGGGGGUCGGAUAUGGAUAUUGGUUUUGAUUCGGAUGAUGAGGUUUAUGAUGGAUAUCACUCUGUUGAAACUUCACCUCAAGAUGAUAAGUUUCCGAAUGUUGGUACUUCAAAGAGAAAGCAUUCUUUCAAUGAACAUAUUGGUAAUACCACCAAUGAUGAACUUCACCAGAAAAUGUGGAACCAUUCUGAGAGUGUGUAUCCUGGUAAUGAAGUUAAAAGUUCAUCAAAUUCUGUUGCAAGUUCUAAA